CCUACGGGAGGCAGCAGUAGGGAAUCUUGCACAAUGGGCGAAAGCCUGAUGGAGCAACGCCGCGUGCAGGAUGAAGGCCUUCGGGUUGUAAACUGCUUUUAUAAGCGAGAAAUAUGAUGGUAACUUAUGAAUAAGGAACGGCUAACUACGUGCCAGCAGCCGCGGUCAUACGUAGGAUCCGAGCAUUAUCCGGAGUGACUGGGUGUAAAGAGUUGCGUAGGUGGCAUAAUAAGUAGCUAUGGGAAUCUGGUGGCUCAACCAUUCAGACUAUUAGCUAAACUGUUAAGCUCGAGACCGUUAGGGGUAACUGGAAUUUCUAGUGUAGGAGUGAAAUCCGUAGAUAUUAGAAGGAACACCAAUAGCGUAGGCAGGUUGCUGGGACGGUUCUGACACUAAGGCACGAAAGCGUAGGGAGCAAACAGGAUUAGAUACCCGAGUAGUC
rnacentral:rRNA from 1 species